rnacentral:rRNA from 1 species
AUUUUACAAUGCGNGAAAGUGUGAUAAGGCGAUCCUNAGUGCUCAUACNCUGUAUNGGCUUUUGCCAAGGGUAAAUACCUUGGAGAAUAAGUGGUGGGCAAGACUGGUGCCAGCCGCCGCGGUAACACCAGCGCCACGAGUGGGAGNCGCUAUUAUUGGGCCUAAAGCGUCCGUAGCUGGUCUGGUAAAUCUCUUGUGAAAUCGACCAGCUUAACUGUACGGCAUGCAGGAGACACUGCCAGACUUGAGACCGGGAGAGGUGAGAGGUAUUCNNGGGGAAGCGGUAAAAUCCUAUAAUCCUUUGAGGACCACCUGUGGCGAAGGCGCCUAACCAGAACGGGUCUGACAGUGAGGGACGAAAGCUAGGGGAGCAAACCGGAUUAGAUACCCGAGUAGUCCUAGCUGUAAACGAUGCGAGUUAGGUGUUGCA